rnacentral:rRNA from 1 species
CCUACGGGGUGCUGCAGUGGGGAAUAUUGGACAAUGGUCGAAAGCCUGAUCCAGCCAUGCCGCGUGUGUGAAGAAGGCCUUCGGGUUGUAAAGCACUUUCAGUGGGGAAGAAAGCCUUGGGGCUAAUACCCUCUAGGAAGGACAUCACCCACAGAAGAAGCACCGGCUAACUCCGUGCCAGCAGCCGCGGUAAUACGGAGGGUGCGAGCGUUAAUCGGAAUUACUGGGCGUAAAGCGCGCGUAGGCGGUCUGAUAAGCCGGUUGUGAAAGCCCCGGGCUCAACCUGGGAACGGCAUCCGGAACUGUCAGGCUAGAGUGCAGGAGAGGAAGGUAGAAUUCCCGGUGUAGCGGUGAAAUGCGUAGAGAUCGGGAGGAAUACCAGUGGCGAAGGCGGCCUUCUGGACUGACACUGACGCUGAGGUGCGAAAGCGUGGGUAGCAAACAGGAUUAGAUACCCUUGUAGUC